GUGCGUGGAGCUCAUCAACGGAAAAAUUCCUGAGGCCCUCAUCAAUUCAGCACCAAAGCCAGUGCCAAAGAAGUGUGGCAAGCUCAUCAGCUUCCUUCGUUCCUUUGCGAAGGCCCGCCCAAAGAAACCGAAGGAGCGGGAGAUGGAGAAGGAGAAGGAAGGGGUGUUUGGCUGUGACCUGGGAGAGCAUCUUCUCCACUCUGGCUGUGAUGUCCCCCAGGUCCUCCAGAGCUGCGCUGAGUUCAUUGAGCAGCACGGCGUGGUGCAGGGGAUCUACCGCCUGUCCGGCGUGGCGUCCAAGAUCCAGAAGCUACGGUAAGAGUGCUGCAACUGACACAGC